GAUAAACGCUGGCGGCGCACAUAAGACAUGCAAGUCGAACGGACUUAACCAUUAGUUUACUAUUGGAGCGGUUAGUGGCGGACUGGUGAGUAACACGUAAGCAACCUGCCUAUCAGAGGGGAACAACAGUUAGAAAUGACUGCUAAUACCGCAUAUGCCUAAGUACCACAUGGUACAAUAGGGAAAGGAGCAAUCCGCUGAUAGAUGGGCUUGCGUCUGAUUAGAUAGUUGGUGGGGUAAAGGCCUACCAAGUCGACGAUCAGUAGCCGGACUGAGAGGUUGAACGGCCACAUUGGGACUGAGAUACGGCCCAGACUCCUACGGGAGGCAGCAGUCGGGAAUAUUGCGCAAUGGAGGAAACUCUGACGCAGUGACGCCGCGUGCAGGAAGAAGGUUUUCGGAUUGUAAACUGCUUUAGACAGGGAAGAAACAAGACAGUACCUGUAGAAUAAGCUCCGGCUAACUACGUG
rnacentral:rRNA from 1 species